AUACGAAGGGUGCAAGCGUUAACCGGAAUUACUGGGCGUAAAGCGCGCGUAGGUGGUUCAGCAAGUUGGAUGUGAAAGCCCCGGGCUCAACCUGGGAACUGCAUCCAAAACUACUGAGCUAGAGUACGGUAGAGGGUGGUGGAAUUUCCUGUGUAGCGGUGAAAUGCGUAGAUAUAGGAAGGAACACCAGUGGCGAAGGCGACCCCCGGGAUUGAGACUGCCCCUGAGGGGCAAAAGGUUGGGGGGCAAACAGGAUUAGAUUCCCUGGUAGUCCACGCCGUAAACGAUGUCAACUAGUUGUUGGGUUCCUUGAGAACUUAGUAACGAAGCUAACGCGAUAAGUUGACCGCCUGGGGAGUACGGCCGCAAGGUUAAAACUCAAAUGAAUUGACGGGG
rnacentral:rRNA from 1 species